AGUGAACGCUGGCGGUAGGCCUAACACAUGCAAGUCGAACGGCAGCACAGUAAGAGCUUGCUCUUACGGGUGGCGAGUGGCGGACGGGUGAGGAAUACAUCGGAAUCUACUUUUUCGUGGGGGAUAACGUAGGGAAACUUACGCUAAUACCGCAUACGACCUACGGGUGAAAGCAGGGGAUCUUCGGACCUUGCGCGAUUGAAUGAGCCGAUGUCGGAUUAGCUAGUUGGCGGGGUAAAGGCCCACCAAGGCGACGAUCCGUAGCUGGUCUGAGAGGAUGAUCAGCCACACUGGAACUGAGACACGGUCCAGACUCCUACGGGAGGCAGCAGUGGGGAAUAUUGGACAAUGGGCGCAAGCCUGAUCCAGACAUACCGCGUGGGUGAAGAAGGCCUUCGGGUUGUAAAGCCCUUUUGUUGGGAAAGAAAAGCAGCAGGUUAAUAUCCCGCUGUUCUGACGGUACCCAAAGAAUAAGCACCGGCUAACUUCGUG
rnacentral:rRNA from 1 species